GUAGGGAAUAUUGCGCAAUGGACGAAAGUCUGACGCAGCGACGCCGCGUGAGUGAUGAAGGCCUUAGGGUCGUAAAGCUCUGUUGAAUGGGAAGAAAAAAAUGACGGUACCAUUAGAGGAAGGACCGGCUAACUUCGUGCCAGCAGCCGCGGUAAUACGAGGGGUCCUAGCGUUGUUCGGAAUCAUUGGGCGUAAAGGGUGUGUAGGUGGCCAUGUAAGUCAGGUGUGAAAGCCCCGGGCUCAACCCGGGAAGUGCACUUGAUACUGCGUGGCUUGAGUACCGAAGAGGGUAGUGGAAUGCCAGGUGUAGUGGUGAAAUACGUAGAUAUCUGGAGGAACACCGGUGGCGAAGGCGGCUACCUGGUCGAGUACUGACACUGAGACACGAAAGCAUGGGGAUCAAACAGGAUUAGAAACCCCGGUAGUCC
rnacentral:rRNA from 1 species